CACUCCUACGGGGCGCAGCAGUUAGGACUCUUGGUCAAUUUUAUAGAUCCUGAACCAGCCAAGCCGCGUGAGGGAAGACGGCCCUAUGGGUUGUAAACCUCUUUUGUCGGAGAACAAAACCCGGGACGUGUCCCGGACUGCGUGUAUCCGAAGAAAAAGCAUCGGCUAACUCCGUGCCAGCAGCCGCGGUAAUACGGAGGAUGCGAGCGUUAUCCGGAUUUAUUGGGUUUAAAGGGUGCGUAGGCGGUCCGUUAAGUCAGCGGUAAAAUUGCGGGGCUCAACCCCGUCGAGCCGUUGAAACUGGC
rnacentral:rRNA from 1 species